AGUGCAAAAUGGAAGUCACAAUAUCUUGUGCUCAAGGGAACUACACUAAUGAGCUUAGAAGUAUUUUCAAGCAUGGAAACCACAAAACAAACUCCUCAGUAAAAUACAGCUAUCUAUUAACUCAAAUCAGGCUUCCUUUCCUGGUAUCAGUAACUAUAUACUAUGUAAUCAGGCCUAUUGAUUGCUUUGGACCUGACACCUCAAAAGUCAUGCUCAAUAACAUUAAAAUGUCUUGUUAAACAAAUCCAGAGAGUUAUUAGCAUGAUACCAUCUAGUUGUCAGCAAUCCCUCUACUCCAACUGGACAACGAGUGUAGCUACAACUUUCGUUAACACGUUUAUUAUGUUUGUAGGAAAAAAAAUUGGGGAGGAAGAUGAGUCAUGAUGAGUUCUUCACGGAGACUCACAUCCGAAAGAAGAAAGCACCGACAGAUCCAACUAGAUGGGUGGAGGACCGGGC
rnacentral:lncRNA from 1 species